rnacentral:lncRNA from 1 species
GAACAUCUUACGGAUGGCCCAGGGCUCCAAAGGCUCGUUUCCUAAGUGAGAGAGAGCCUGGCUGAAGCUGUAUUACCAUUCAUUCUCCAGCCUCCGAAGUCUCAAAGCAUCACUUCCACCAUACUCUAACUGUCAAGACAAACACAAAGGCCCAGAAACUGCCAGACUGUCUUCUGAAGUGGCUAUAAUAUUUACACUCCCAUCAGCAGUGUAGAAGGGGUCUCACUAUGUUGUCUGGAGUGCUGUGGUGGAGUGGAGUGGCUAUUCACAGCUGAGUUUGCAGAGUAAACCACUACCCUGAAAUCUGGAAAGGCAGGUGCACCCACAGAUCCUCAGCUGAGAUCCAAUUACCUGAAAUAGAAGCUGCCAUUAGGAACACUUAAAAGAGCCUGUUCUGCUGGGACACAGAAUCACUUGCUCCAUCUCAUACAUUGAUGAUGAUUAAUUUGUAUGUGUACCUUCCAAAAAAGAUGGUUGUGUUUGAAUGGAGGCCUUCUGGACAGGAAAAUGUACACAAAGCAUUACAGCAUUAAGUCAGCAGAGCGAAGGACCAUGAUUUUGCAAUGAAAAUAAUAAUUUAGAUGGAGAGUGCGUGCUUUGGAUUCAAGACUGGGAAUGAGGGGACCAGAAACCUAUUCUGUGGCUGUUUCUUGUUAGGACUUUCCUAAGCCUCUGGAAAAGUGCAAAGUACAAUUAACAUUUGAGUCUGUCUGAGUCAUGAAGAAAUGGAGAUUACUGAAAAUAAUUCAUUUUGGUAUCUUCUUACAUCCUGAGAGACUAAUCUUUCCAAGUUCAUCUGAGGCUCCUCUUCUCCAUGACAACCUCAUCCAGGGAUUUCUUCCUGUCCUGGUGUUUUAUGACAUCAUCCUCAUCUCGCUUGUAAGGAUAAUAGCCUUCCUCCAAACCUCACACACUUUUGGAGGAGAUCACUUUUUUUAAAGUGCAUGGAAAUGUUUUGAAACAGUGAAAUCUAUAAUGAUAGGUUUCAUAAUUCUAACAUCCACACCAUAUGAAUCACAUCCUUCCUGAGAUAAUGAGCACACAAUUGCCUGGAUACCUGAAGGAAUGGAGACAGCGGCAGAAAACACUGCAGAGAGGUGGAAACAUCCGUUAAUAUUUUAAAAUCCCAUUACUGCUACCAACAAUAAUAAUGGAUGCAUAGAAAUAGAUCUGGAUUAGCUGAGCUUGAAACAGUCCAUCUCACACACACACAAAAGAAUUUCAGAUACAGUGAACCCACAUGUUGAAGCUUUCUAGUAUAAUAAAAAUUUCAACUGUUCUGUUGAAUCAUCUGCCUGAUUGGAGGCUACAGAAAAGAUGUCAUCUUAGGAGUGCUUGCUCUGAGUGAGGCUCAUCUUCAAAUCUGAAUGACCACAAGGAGAUUUGAUUAUACAUGUGAACACCUCAGAAGGCACAGCCCACCCAGAAGGCAGACAGGUCAGGCUGCUUUUUCUUCAUUGCUUGGAUUCAAUCCUCCGGGCGGCUCAGGCUCAAACAUAACUUAAGCAUGAUUAAACUUUAGAAGAAGCUGCCAGGAAGACUGUGAAAUCUUCAUGCCCAAGGAUCCCUAAAAUUAGGAGCAACAACCACUUGGCUCAGACGGUUUAUGGAGGCAAAGGUUUGGAUGGGAUUAGAGAUUUCUAAAUGUGAGUUCGUGUCCUCUGCCAGACCACCUUACUUCCACCAUUCCUCAGCAAAUCAAGAAAAACAGGAGAAAAGACAUGCCUUUCCAUAAGUUAAAUCUAUUCUGUUUUAAUUCUAUAUUAUAUCUGCUGUACAACUUCUUUUGUUUGUAACACCAUAUUGUUGCUAGUAACUGGAAAUUAAUUUUCACAUGCCUCAGCUUAGAAAAAUAAAAAGCAGCCCUGCAUCAAUCCCAA